UUUGUUGCCUGAAAUGCUUUUCCCUUUGUUGUCAUUGGGAAUAACCUUAUCAUCACAUUUCUUACCUCCUUUCUAAGAAUUAGACCAAUGUGGCCUCCUACUCGAAGUGCCCUUAUAUUCAAACCUUGUUGUCCCUCUAGGUUUUAGUUGCUUUUCCACCUUAAUUGCAAGGUGAACUAACUCCUCAAGCUCCACAUAAUGUUGCAACUCUA
rnacentral:lncRNA from 1 species